AUUGAACGCUGGCGGCAGGCUUAACACAUGCAAGUCGAGCGGAGAUGAGGUGCUUGCACCUUAUCUUAGCGGCGGACGGGUGAGUAAUGCUUAGGAAUCUGCCUAUUAGUGGGGGACAACAUUCCGAAAGGAAUGCUAAUACCGCAUACGUCCUACGGGAGAAAGCAGGGGAUCUUCGGACCUUGCGCUAAUAGAUGAGCCUAAGUCGGAUUAGCUAGUGGGUGGGGUAAAGGCCUACCAAGGCGACGAUCUGUAGCGGGUCUGAGAGGAUGAUCCGCCAAACUGGGACUGAGACACGGCCCAGACGCCUACGGGAGGCAGCAGUGGGGAAUAUUGGACAAUGGGGGGAACCCUGAUCCAGCCAUGCCGCGUGUGUGAAGAAGGCCUUAUGGUUGUAAAGCACUUUAAGCGAGGAGGAGGCUACUGAGACUAAUACUCUUGGAUAGUGGACGUUACUCGCAGAAUAAGCACCGGCUAACUCUGUGCCAGCAGCCGCCGUAA
rnacentral:rRNA from 1 species